rnacentral:sRNA from 3 species
CUCCGGGGGCAAGAGGUUCGACCCGAGCGAAGCGAGAGAACGUUGCGUCAGCAACGGCCCGCAGGGCGAGCCACGCAGUGGCGAGUCAUCCUCUAUCACCGACCA